rnacentral:rRNA from 1 species
UACGUAGGGGGCAAGCGUUGUCCGGAAUUACUGGGCGUAAAGGGCUCGUAGGCGGCCAACUAAGUCGGAUGUGAAAUCCCCAGGCUUAACCUGGGAACGGCAUCCGAUACUGGAGGGCUUGGAAUUCGGGAGAGGGAUGCAGAAUUCCAGGUGUAGCGGUGAAAUGCGCAGAUAUCGGGAGGAACACCGGUGGCGAAGGCG